UACAGAGGGUGCGAGCGUUAAUCGGAAUUACUGGGCGUAAAGGGUGCGUAGGUGGUUAAAUAAGUCAGAUGUGAAAUACCUGGGCUCAACCUGGGAACUGCAUUUGGUACUAUUUAGCUAGAGUGCAGUAGAGGAAUGUGGAAUUUCCGGUGUAGCGGUGAAAUGCGUAGAUAUCGGAAGGAACAUCAGUGGCGAAGGCGACAUUCUGGACUGUGACUGACACUGAGGCACGAAAGCGUGGGGAGCAAACAGG
rnacentral:rRNA from 1 species